GCUGGGCAUGGUGGUGCAUGCCUGUAGUCCCAGCUACUUGGGAGGCUGAGGUGGGAGGAUCACUUGAGCCCAGGAGUUCUGGGCUGUAGCGCGCUAUGCUGAUCGUGUGUCUGCCCUAAGUUUGGCAUCAAUAUGGUGACAUCUCGGGGGCAGGGGACCACCAGGUUGCCUAAGGAGGGGGUGAACUGUCCCAGGUCGGAAACGGAGCAGGUCAAAACUCCCGUGCUGAUCAAUGGUGGAAUCGCACUUGUGAAUAGCCACUGCACUCCAGCCUGGGCAACAUAGAGAGACCAA
rnacentral:SRP_RNA from 1 species